ACGUAGGGAGCAAGCGUUGUCCGGAUUUACUGGGUGUAAAGGGUGCGUAGGCGGCUUUGCAAGUCAGAUGUGAAAUCUAUGGGCUCAACCCAUAGCCUGCAUUUGAAACUGCAGAGCUUGAGUGAAGUAGAGGCAGGCGGAAUUCCCCGUGUAGCGGUGAAAUGCGUAGAGAUGGGGAGGAACACCAGUGGCGAAGGCGGCCUGCUGGGCUUUAACUGACGCUGAGGCACGAAAGCGUGGGUAGCAAACAG
rnacentral:rRNA from 1 species